AGGAUGAACGCUGGCGGCGUGCCUAAAACAUGCAAGUCAUACGGACUACCUUCGGGUAGUCAGUGGCAAACGGGUGAGUAACACGUGGGAACACGCCUUCGAGUGGGGAAUAACGCUGAGAAAUCAGUGCUAAUACCGCAUAUGGUCGAGAGACUAAAGCAGCAAUGCGCUCGGAGAGUGGCCCGCGGUCGAUUAGCUAGUUGGUGGGGUAAUGGCCUACCAAGGCGGCGAUCGAUAGCUGGU
rnacentral:rRNA from 1 species